UAAAGGUCAGGGAGGGCGCUAGCAGCGGCUAACCGGCAGAGAGUCGGUGAACCGGGGAACUACCGGGGACACAGCGGGGAAGGAGCGAGGAGAGAUGGGGCAGAGAAAUAAGACAGGAAACACAAACACCACCGGUGUUAAACGUGUAGAAAAAGCAGAUUUAUUCCUGGAACUUUGCACCGCGGACAAAGCUAACUGUAGCUAACAGCUAACGUUAGCAUGGCGACCAUUUUAGAGCCGCCAGAGAGGAGACGGACCGGAGAGAAACCCGAGAUAGACCAGAGACAGAGGCGGGAGGAACGGACCGUGACACCGGGAAACUGACGGUAAAACCUCAGACGCUGUUUCGGAUGGACUGUGGGAGCACCAGCAGGUUGACCUAAUGAAGCUUCAGGACAGAGUGGAGGACAAACGGCUCCUACAUGAAGGUGGUGAACAGGUCUUUUGGAUCGUUGCUCAGACAUGAGGGACCAAACAGGGACGAUUGACUCUAACACAGGAGCUGAAGAUGACGUCAGCAGCUCAGUCGUUUCCUGCCUUCAGACCAGCAGCUUUUAUGAUCUCUGUCGUUGUGGUCUGCGGCAGUCUGCCGGUAGUCGGUCUUCCAUCCCCCAUAAUUCAUCACUCCCAGCC
ensembl:lncRNA